rnacentral:rRNA from 1 species
CUACGGAGGGUGCAAGCGUUACUCGGAAUCACUGGGCGUAAAGCGCGCGCAGGCGGGCUGAUAAGUUGGAUGUGAAAGCCUACGGCUCAACCGUAGAACUGCAUCCAAAACUGUCAGUCUAGAGUCUGGGAGGGGAAGAUGGAAUUAGUUGUGUAGGGGUAAAAUCCGUAGAGAUAACUAGGAAUACCAAAAGCGAAGGCAAUCUUCUGGAACACUACUGACGCUGAGGCGCGAAAGCGUGGGGAGCAAACAGGAUUAGAAACCCUAGUAGUCC